rnacentral:rRNA from 1 species
GACGAACGCUGGCGGCGUGCUUAACACAUGCAAGUCGAGCGGUAAGGCCCUUCGGGGUACGACGAGCGGCGAACGGGUGAGUAACACGUGGGUGACCUGCCUCUAGCUCUGGGAUAAGCCUGGGAAACUGGGUCUAAUACCGGAUAUGACUCCACGGCGCAUGUUGUGGGGUGGAAAGCCUUGUGUGGCUAGAGAUGGGCCCGCGGCCUAUCAGCUUGUUGGUGGGGUGAUGGCCUACCAAGGCGACGACGGGUAGCCGGCCUGAGAGGGCGACCGGCCACACUGGGACUGAGACACGGCCCAGACUUCUACGGGAGGCAGCAGUGGGGAAUCUUGCGCAAUGGGCGAAAGCCUGACGCAGCGACGCCGCGUGAGGGAUGACGGCCUGGUGUAAC